rnacentral:rRNA from 1 species
CCCUUAGAUGUUCUGGGCCGCACGCGUGCUACACUGAACGGUUCAAUGGGUAAGGUAGUGCGAAAGCAUGACCUAAUCUCGAAAUCCGUUCGUGCUGGGGAUAGAAGCUUGCAAUUAUCCUUCUUGAACGAGGAAUACCUUGUAAGCGUGAGUCAUCAUCUCACGCUGAAUACGUCCCUGCCCUUUGUACACACCGCCCGUCGCUCCUACCGAUUGAGUGUUCCGGUGAGGCUUUGGGAGAAUGGCCUCAACAUGAGUUUAUCGUGUUUUGCCGUUUGAACUUAGUCAAACCUUAUCACUUAGAGGACGGAGAAGUCGUAACA